rnacentral:lncRNA from 1 species
UGAAAACACCUUCCCUGUAGUUUCUAAAAUUGCACUGACUUUUUUUGUGCAAAAAUAACGAGUUUGCAUCUAGAUUUAGGGCUUCUAAAACUAAAACAAUUAAAAAAAACAUUAUCACAACCGGGGCCUUAAUACACUUUUGAAUAUUAUGUAAGAAAAAAUUUAUAAUUUUUCAAAAUUAAAAAAAAAAUGCUUUAAGAGAGUGUUUAUGGUUAGGUAUGGAUUAUGGAGGAUAAGGAAGCAUAGAAUAUUGCGAAAAGUGGGCCAUCUUCAUGAUGCGAUCUUAUGGGCCCGGUAAUAUUAUUUCAACCUUUUUUUAUAUUUAUUAUUAAUAUUUUUAUGUAUUGAUUAUUUAUGAACAACGCACCGUUCUUUUGGAUUGAAUAUGCAACCUAGUACAGUUUUAUUGUCCAGAUAUAAUAAUAAUUAAUAAUAAUAAUAAUAAUAAUUAGUACGUCCAUUUAUUAGUUCCUUAGGGGCUGUGUGGUUGUGGAUUAGGAGGGGGGAUAAUUUUUCCCUCCGGCUAAUUUUUCCCCCAUGUCGUUUGGCUGGCGGAUAAGAAGGCGGAUAAUUUAUGCCCCCGGAUUAAUUUUUCACCCGAGCAGGUGGAUUGAGGCGGGAUUAAUUUUUGGGGGGCCUAGACCCUAACUAAAAGUUAUCCGGGGGAUAAGGGGGUGUGAGGGAUAUAAGAACAAAAAGAUAAUAAAGAGAAGAAAAAAAAUGGUAAUUGGUUAGUUAGUAUAUAAUAUAGAAAUAAAAUAUAUUUGUUUAAUAUCUAAAUAUUGCUAUAUUUUGUUUUUCUCUCUAUAUUUUCGUUCUUAUCACCCCCUUAUCCCCAUUCUAAAAGUAUACAAACAAAGUUUAAAAGUUAUCCCUCUCAAAAGUUAUCCCUCUCUAAAAUUUAUCUCCCCUUUAAAAACUUAUUUCCCCCUCCCAUAUCGCCAGCCAAACGGCCACCGUUAGUGGCAUAUAAACAAGUACCAUUCUUUGAAUCUGCAACCUAGAUUUUGAGGUCCAGACCUAAUAAUUAAUAAUGAUGAUGAUGAUAAUAAUAAUAAUAAUAUUAUUAUUAUUAAAAACUAUAGUUUGAUAGCAUCGGACAAGUAGAGCAAUGUGCAUUGUGAAUCUGCGAUGAAAUUGCAUGGAAUUUUUUCCAAUCAGUAGAGAAAUGGAACCCAAACCAGGCCUUUGCGUGACUACACCAAGAUAAGGCCCUUAAAAUCUUUAUGGGCCUCAUUGAAUCGAUUUUAAAGAGGUCGGAUAGUAGGAAAGGGGGGUGGGAGGACAUAAAAAGACACCGAACCAAGUCGGGGCGGAAAAUUAGGGGGGCCUUAAAGUGCUCUUGUUUCUGAGAAUUGUAAUUGAUACUGGCUCCACGAAAAACCGCCUAUUUCAUUUAGUGCACUACCACCCAUUUAAUUGGAGGUUUUAUGGAAUACUCCAUUAACCAAUUGGUCUAGAGUACAAGUUAGAGCAGUCUUGGAUAGUCACCACUCCAACUAAUCCUAUGGCAUUGAUCUUUUUUUUUUUUUUUUGUAAUUGAAGAAAUGUACUUGUCUCCAUGUUUUUACCUUUUCUCAUUUCCAAGUUUGGAAAUUCUAUCUAUUGUUUAGGUUGUUUGCCAUGAGGCAGGACAGGUUAUAGUUAUGUGAAUAUUUGAUCCCCUGAAGCAUGUGUCACCUGCACUAGGUUUAGUAGGGUUCCCUAUAAACCUGCACAUUCUUAUAAUGCUAUCUCACAUUGAAGAAUUUUAUUUGAUUUUCUUUUUGCCUGACAUCAUUAUCCACUCGGUGGCCAGCGGCAAAAAACCAGGAAAAAAAUACUUUUCCCUUUGUGUUUUGUUUGAAUAUAUAUCUUUUCGUUGAUUGGUGUUUCUUUAAAGUGCAAAGGGACAAGAAAGGAUCAAUAACGAUGCUGUGAAAUAGAUGGUUAGUUUUUGUUCUGACUAGAAACUAAUAAAUCCAGAUAUUAUCUGUGUGGAUAUAUGAAUUCUGUUCAUUAUGAAUGGUGUUUUCUGGCGCAAAAAUCUUUGUGAACUUCUUCAACUGAUAGGUCAUAAAGAGGAAUAGUUCCUUUCAGGUACUUCGAGGAAACUGAGUUAAUAUUUUAUGCGUUAAAUUCCUUUGUUCUUUUUUUUAAAAUGCUGCGUGGAUCAAAUUAAGAAGACGUUUCGUGUCUAGGGCAUGUAUUUUGGCCUUGUGAAUUCCCCCAGGUACUGAUAAGGAGCCUACCUCGCCGGGUAUCUUGUCAAUGCCAUAAUCAUCAGGUAAUCCUUAUUUAAUUUUUAAGGAGUAGUUUGCCAACAAAAUUUUAUUGGGUCUUUAGGCUUUGAUACUAUUGUUGGUUGCUUUAAUUUUAUUUUAUUUCUUGAAGAGGGAAAGGAUGUUAGUUUGAGUUGCUGGCAAAUGAAGUUACUUCUUCUUUUUCCCAUUUAGAAAUCUUUCUUCGAUAUCUUGGCGGGAGCAUUACCCAGAUAUUCUUGUCGGGAAUAUGACGUAAUCCUGUGGAGAUUAGCUUCUCGGAUGUUAAAAUUUUCUCGCAUUAUCAGAAUGCUUGUCUGGGGAGUCGGAUUGUAGUUCCUGUGAGAUUGAUUAACACUUCUCGGAUGUUAUGUUCUUAGAUUAUGGUUAAAAUUAGACUAUUUUGUAGUUCAGUUGAUAAGUUCUCUAUUUUUGUUUUUAAAUUCUCUAUCUUAUUUUCAUAUUGAUCGAUAUUCCUGUAUGGGAGCGGAUUUGAACCAAAUUCAAAUAAGUAUAACUUCUACUGCCAUAGAUUCAAUGUACAUGAGUGUUUUUCUGGGGGUGGUUCGAAAAGCUUGUGGACAGAUAUCUUUGGCAUCAAAAACAAUGUUAAUUAUUUGAAGAGCAGAAAACAAGGCCAGUUGUAUACAAAAAAGGCUAUAGACCUCUAGUUGUCAAAAACAAGCUUCUCAAAGUCUAAACUGGUUGAGAUGGGGCUGCUCCCUCGAUUACUAUCCAAAAGGCUAUUGAAAAAACACCUAUAAGCCUACCACGACAUGACAACUCUCAGUGGCCAUCAUAAUGAACAUCGCGUUCUUUUCCCCCAAUGAGCUGCAUUCAGCAAAGCGGCUAAUUGGACCAAACGUCCUCGCCUCUUACCACCUAAACCCGUCCCAGAAACAAUUUGAAAAAGCUCUAAGACACCUGCCUGGAUGAUAUGUUGAAUAGGUACAUUUAAUGCCAUAGUUCGAUGGCCUGCUCGGUGUGGAAGGUGCCAUUCUUGCCGGUGAUUGAUUGCCUUGGGCAGAUGACCCGAGUGUGCUUGUCCACGAACACUACCGGCCGAAGAGGAGGCGGCGCCGCCACAAAAAAUAGCGAGACUGAUUUAAAGAAGAAGAAAAAAAACGGAACGAAGUACGGCGUGGGCGCCAUAGCCCCGGGACAUUAUGAUGGCUUCAUACUUUUAGCCAAUUCGAGAGAGUGACUUUCAUAUAUUGUUUGGGUGCUGGCGUGAAGAUUAUGUAAUCCAACAUUUUCUAGAUGCUGAAAGGAUAAGUGAUAGUCAUAUGGAUAGGGAAUAGACGACUGUCAACUCUUUGCCGUGCCAAUUUUGGGCUAGUGUGGGCGGCAGUGUAGCUACUUAGUCAUGCCUCAAUAGAAUCUUGAUGACACAUCUUCCUUGCAAAAAGGUGUCAGACACAAUGCAAGCACGAAGUGCAAUAUGAGGGUGCAAACAAGCAUGAAGAGCAUAUAUAAUGUAUAAAAGUAUUAAUGUUCAAACUCCUGUUAUAGUUUUAAAAAGCUAAAAACAUUUGGAAAUUGAUAAAGUAUAUGUGAGUAUCUUCAAAAUUAAGUGAUGGGCUUUGACACUUGCAGAGCAUUGAAAUUUGAAUGCCAAGUUUUUCCACUUAAUAGAGUAAUGUGAUCUAUUUUCCCAAACUAACGCAUGGGUUAUAUCCGUUUCAACAAUGGUGACUGAACUCAGAAAAAAAAAUGUCUCCGGCAGAGAGGUCUGUAACGUUCUUAUAGUCCCUGUCUUCGAGAAAGUCUUAAAGAGUUACCGAGACACCAAAAGUCCUUUCCAUAGCAUGCUGUUUGGGUCCAAACCCCGGAGAAUUAGCGGAUUCGAUCAUGACUAAACUACAACACUCCCUAUUUUAGCCUGCUAAACUACACCAAUCUUUUUAAGAAAUAAAUUAAAAUACAAAGAAACCUUCACAACAACAGUUCAUACAGAUUACAGUAAUAGCUCAUUAACUCGGCAUUAAGUGAUUUUACACUAAACACGAGACAAAAGAAGCAAUAACAUUUUUCGUCAAGCAAUGCGAAAAAAUGACACACUCACCUAUAUUAACUACAUAGGUAUGUUAACACAAUUUAGGUGUUAACCUUUCCAUUGACUAACUAGUAACUCUGCUCUUAUGCGAACCAGCUUCACCACUCGAGUACGACUCCCAGAAAAAUAUAUAGUCAAAAAACAAUAAACUAUACAUGUCGUUAUAAAUUCAGACAAACAUGUCAGUGAAUUUCUAGAGAAAUUACCGCAAAUGUUUCAAGAUUGCAAUACUCGGUCCAUGCUAUAUAAACAAUGAAAGGCAAGGCCCCAACAAGAGAGUUACAAGUACUGGUACUCGGUUACCAUAAAACAGUUAGAAUUCACAGCCAAAUCCAAAACAGUAUUUGCUUGAUCAUACAGUUCCACCAGUUAGAACCAAAGCCAAAUGCAAACAUAUUUGCUGAUCAUACAGUUUCCCAUGACCCGAAAGUACGCAAGGGCUCAAUAACGCAGUACUUAGUGGAAAGUCUUAGGUUUGCAAUGACGAGCCCACGUUCCCUUCCUGGCCCCUCGUACACUGUUUCAACAAGUCGAUGAAUUCCUGCUUAUCCUUCAUUGCACAAGUUGAUCUUAUGUUGUUUCCAGUGCCAAGCUAAUCAUUAUGUGUUUGUUUCUGAAGAAGAACAUGACAGGUGAUGGGUUUCAUUACAGCUCAUACAUCGUAUUGAAGUCGGGCCUCUGUGAUGUCCACCAGUAAAGAUGCAAAGUUCUUGAUUGUCUCAGCCAAAUGAAGCCCGACCUCAUCCAAUCUACACAAACCAAAACACACAAAAAUUAAAACCAUUUAAUUAAAAUCAAUGAAGGAUAGUCUUCAAGCUGAUGCAAGUCAACAUAACAUGACAAAGAAUUAAAAGCAAAAGUAGAGCAGAAUCGCAGGGGAAAAAAAAAGGAGGGCGGGGGGAGGGGGAGAGAAACACAAAUAAAUCAUUCCAUAGAAGAUGAGCUAGUAGAUAAUAGAUUAAUCUAAAACAGAGUAAUCCAUAGCAGAAGCAAAACAGAACCACCUACACCCUAUUUCAAUUGAACAGAAGCCAAUUUGCCAAUCAAAGUGUGACAGAAGACAUUGUUCAAAUUUGUCAACCAGCAUACAAAAUUUCAUAAAGACACCAGGAAUUAGCCAUUUUGAACUAAACAAUUGAUCCUCUAAAAAACUAGACCGGAUCCAGGAGCCAAAUUACGGUGAUCAAAGAGCAUGAUCUGUGCACUUGUAUCAUGUUUUGUUUUGUUAACAUUCGAUAUAUAGACAUUUAAUGGAAAAAACCUACAACUAAGAGACUGGCACAAUAGGUAUGAUAAUAGAUUGGGAAAGAAGACUCACAGACCAACCAAAGAGCACAGAGUUCAAAACAGGUUCAACGACAAACAUGGAUUGAGAAUCGUGACCAAACCCUUAUUCCCACUAAGAAGACACAAGGACAUGAGUUAAAAGACCACCACAAGGAAAGGCAUGAUCAGUUUGAUCAAUUUGAUUUUAGAAAGAAAAGAAAGGGAAAAGAAUGGAACGUCUAACCUUUACUAAUGUACGUUCCCAUGUUAUCAAGAAACUGCUGUUUUUCUUUAUUUACUCAUUUAUUUGACAAGUACCAAAUCCUAGAUUUCGCUAGUUUAAUGUGGACAGAUCAAAGGGCAAGUUUUAUUUUAUUCAACCAUCUUCUGAACAACCUGUUUUAUAGUUCUUAUUAUGGAAGAGGGCCUUUUGUAGUUCUAUGAAGAGGCAGACUAAAGCUGGGAGCAAGGAUGAUGCAUUGAGAUGGAACGGAGUUGUCUUGUAGUUCUUAUUUUGGGUGCUAUGUAGGGGUUUGUAACUCCUCUUUCCCUUCAAAGGCUAUUUGGGGGAUGCACCUUCGCGAAUAGCAUUUGACUUAUAGCAAGGAUCACAAUAGGUAAACGAUCUAAUUCAAACAAAAAGUCAUUACUUAUUGGUGGUUUGCACGGUAAGAGGGUCAGGGAGUUAGUUGUCUCAUAUGUUUAUCCAUUGUUCAGUGGCAUUUUGACUUCAGUUCUUCUUCCCUAGUUUGGUGUGGAUUGGGGUGCAUCCAGCAAGGUUCGUAGAGCUUCUUCAUUGUUCUGGACGGGUUAAGGUGGGUAGAGGUCGAAGGACGUUUUGUGUCACUAGCCGCUUUGCUGAUGCGGCUCAUUUGGAGGGAAAGGAACCGAUGUCAUUUUGAUCACUGAGAUUCUGUCCAAGGUCGUGUAGGCUUUAUAGUGGUGUUCAAUAGCCUUUUGUAUAGUAAUCGAAGAGAGCGAGCCCCAUCUCAACCAGUUUUAGACUUGGAAGAGCUGUUUUUGACAACAUAGAGAUCUAAUGGCCUGUUUGUAUACACAUGGCCUUUGGUUUCUGCAUUUUCAAAUCAUUAACAUUGUUUUUGAUGCCAGAUAUCUAGGCCACAAUCUUUCGAACCACCCCAGAAAAACACUCAUGUACAAAUUGAAAUCUAGAGCAAGAGAAGUUACUACUUAUUUGAAUUUGGGUUCAAAAUCACUCCCAUAUAGAUAUCUAGUCCCAGUACGAAGAGAUAGAGAAUUAAAACAAAAUAUAGACAUUAUCACCGAACUACAGAAUAUCUACUUUACCUCAUCUGAAGACAUACAUCCGAGAAGCUAAUCUCAGCAGGAACUCUAAUCCUACCUCCAGACAAGAAUAUCUGGUAAGCAAAAAAAUUUCUACAUCCGGAACUAUCUCACAAUUACUCAGAUUCCCAACAAAAAUAUCUGGUAAUAGCCCCCAGCAGAAUAUCGUAAGAAGAAUUCUUAGAUGGAAAUUGAGAAGUAACUUCAGUUUUCCUAGCAACUCAACCAACAUCCCUUAUCCCUUUUCACUAAAUUAAAAGAAAAUUAAAGAAUCACCAACAAUGGAUCAAGGAGCCUAAAGGACCAAUAAUGUGUUUUAAGACUACCCUUAAAAAGCAAUAGGAUUCACUAAUUAUUAAUACGCAUUGACAAUAGUAGCUCCUGAUCCUUGAUCAUGGGAAUUCACAGGCCAAAAUCCAUGCCCCCUUAACAUUUCUUUUGAUCCAUUGCAGCUUUUUUUAAAAAGAAGAAGAAUUUACAAUAACCCGUUAAACUUUUAACUCAGUUUCCCCUCCUCGAAGUACUUUGAAAGGAACUAAUAUCCUCAUUUAAUGGCUAUCAGUUGAGAAUCGCACAGAUUAGUGGGUGGACACAAAAAGGCGCAUCCAGCUUACUUAAUGAACGAUUAUAUAUCCCACACAAUAAUAUCCUUGAUAUUAUUUCUACGUCAAAAAAAAACUAACCAAUCUAUUCACACGCAUAAGUUGGCUUAUGCCCCUAGGGAUACGGCAAGGCAUAACUAUUCUGAGUCCAUUUUUGUUUUUUGGUGCACUUUAAAAAGACAAUCCAUUUCUACUGAAAAGAAGAUAGGAUUAUAUUCAAUUUCAAAACAUCAACGAGGGAAAAUGACAGGUACUCUACGGUUUAUUGGCCUGGCCAUCGUCUAGGUUAAGGCUGAGUGAUCGAACAUACUGCAUGUACGGCAACAACACAUUAAUGCAAAUACCAGAACUCUUGUCAAUGAUUCGACUGCAUGGAACAUAUAUAAGAAUGUGCCUCGGUUACUAUGUGGAACCCUUACUUAAACCCUAUGCAGGCAUGUGACAUCAGUGGGCUUACAAGAAGGGCUUCUAAAGGCCUACUUGCUCACCAGUUGACUUCACUCUAAGUCCAUGUCCUGUUUAGCUGGGCAUCCCUGUGCUCACGGCAACUACAACCUUAACCAUAUCUAGACACCAAAUUCAUUCUCAGAACUUAACUCUGCAGAAAGAGGCAUCAUAAACACCUGGUUGACAAGAAAGGGUCAUGUGACUACAAGCUUUCAAUUAUUACAAAAAAACGAACAAUCAAUGCCAUAAACGGAUCACUUGGUUUUGGACAGUGGUGACUAUCCAUAGACUACCGGUCACUCCUUAUGAAACACACUUUGACCCAACUCGUUACAGAGACGCCAAUAACAGGAUUGCCGUUGGAGCGAGGGCAAUCUGAUUCAUAUCUCAAGAUCUCUGCUCCAGCUAGCACAGAUGGUACUCUAGACUCAUUCGGUAUCAAGUGAGGGUAUGUCAUAAAACCCAUCCAAUUAAAAUUUUGGGGAUAUACUUUCAAACGCACGACUAAAUGAUAGCAGCAUGAAGUUCCACAAAAUAGUUGGAAAACGACAUCCUUAAUAGAAACUAAAAAAAAGAUAAAGGAAGUCAAUGGUCACGCCAAGAACAGGACAGGAACCGGCUCGGGCAGUGCUGACAGGCAAAAACUGACUUUUUGCCAAAGCAAGUCCUUUACUUGGUCCUAGAGUACCAGUUUAUAGCAAAAAAAAGUCCUAUUCUUCCCUGGCACACGUUGCCCCCUCGAAGACAAACAAAUCAGAAUUCGACGAAAAUCUAAUUCAGCGGAGACCAAA